CCUAGUGUCUGUCCUCAGCGGCUGCGGCCAGGGCUGGAGAGGUGUUCAUGGCCCAGGAAGGACAGAAAAGAAACCACUGCCUGAGGGUCUGGCUCAGCUCUGCAAUCCCUCCUCCCCAGGCUCCGUGACAGGCCCGAACCUGCCAUGGUCCCCUUUGCCCCUGCUGAAGCCCGCAGCACCCAGCACUACGAUUGCAUGUCUAAUCACAGGAAAUCCACUUUGGGAGGCUGAGACAGGAGGAUCCCUCAAGGCCAAGAGUUCAAGACCAGCCUGGGCAACAUAGUGAAACCCCGUCUCUACAUAAAUAAAAAUAAAAAAUAAAAACAAAUUAGCCAGGUGUGGUGGCACAUGCCUGUAGUCCUGGCUACUACGGAGGCUGAGGUGGGAGGAUCACUUGAGCCCAGGAGGUUGAGGCUUCAGUGAGCUACGAUUGUACUACUGCACUCCAGUUGGGGUGACAGAGUCAG
rnacentral:lncRNA from 1 species